rnacentral:sRNA from 1 species
AGGACCCCGUUGAUGGAAGCAGCCGAAAACAACCAUCUGGAAGCAGUGAAGUACCUCAUCAAGGCCGGGGCCCUGGUGGAUCCCAAGGUCCUUAGAGCAU